CAAUUAUGAUUUUCAGGUAUUUAAAAAGUACAUAACCAUCCAGUUUCUGGAGGCAGCAAAGGUCAAUAAAAUACUCUGCUGACAGCAAUAGGUGUCUCUCCCCACCUUAUUCCUUCUAACCAUAUACACAGCACUGCAUAUCUUGUAAUAAAAAAAUUCAACUAGAUUAUGUGUUUAGAUUUUUAGAUUUAGUGCACUCUACUUCUUGGGUGGGAAAAUAACUCCAUAUGCAAAGGAACCAAAAUGAUGUUCAUUUUUCAGGAAUACUGGUUAUUUGGGGAAACGGUGGAAUAACAGGGGAUGAUGGUUAGGUCUUCCAGAGGGUGCUCCCUAACAGAUAAAGAGUGUGUUCCUGUGGGCCCAGCUGGGCAGGAGCCACUGAAGGAAAUCUGUCGCCAUGGCUUCAGGCUUCAAUUCUUGAAAGUUUCUGUUUUUUAAGUGAUGCCUGAGUGGUCUGUCUGCCCAUAGCUGUACUAUAGAUUUCAUAGGAUUUUUUAUUUACUUUCUCGUUCUUCCCUAAAUUUGGAAUUUACGAGGAAACUGCCAAGAGGAAAUUAAAGUUUUAAUCCACCGUUAACUUUUUCCUCUUAAGUUUGGCACUAUAAUUUGUAACAACAAUCCAAGAUAUCUAACUAGUAAUGUCUGUCUCCUCAUAAACUUUCAUUCUGC
rnacentral:lncRNA from 1 species